rnacentral:rRNA from 1 species
CGGGACGGGGUGAGUAAUGUCUGGGAAACUGCCUGAUGAGGGGGGAUAACUACUGGAAACGGUAGCUAAUACCGCAUAACGUCGCAAGACCAAAGAGGGGGACCUUCGGGCCUCUUGCCAUCGGAUGUGCCCAGAUGGGAUUAGCUAGUAGGUGGGGUAACGGCUCACCUAGGCGACGAUCCCUAGCUGGUCUGAGAGGAUGACCAGCCACACUGGAACUGAGACACGGUCCAG